rnacentral:lncRNA from 1 species
UCCAGCUGAUAAUAAUCACUAUAGCACUUUUAAUACAACAACGGUCAAAUCUUAUCAUAUUAAGUGGGUCGACUACAUGUAUGAUUAAUUAGGAAUCACAAAAGAAAACAACGAUAUUUACAUUUUAUCAUGUUAACCUUUUCACCCAAAAAAACAAAAAUAUGGUAGCAAAUAACAAUAAUAUCUCUCAAAGUAAAAAAGAUGGUAUCUAAACAUUUCUAUUUUCUGGUGCAAGUCAAAUUAACUUUUUGAGUAGGUUUUUGGUUUUCCAAUAGUAUUGGAGGUAUGCCAUUAAAAAAGAUGCUACUAUUUCCUAUAUAUUCCCACGGCCAACACACUUUCACAAACACUAAUAAUGAGCACAUUUAAAAACCUCUUUCUAUCUCAUUAUCCUUUGAAUUGAGUGAAAAUAAAACAGAAGCUAAAUUCUUAUGGUUCAACAACCAUGUAAUGUAGCCAUUUACGCCCAUCUCUUUUGGCUAAACCACCACCACCAAUAAACUCCUAUCACCUUCCUCUACUAAAAUAUUUAUAGAUGGAAGAGAUUUCAAAACAUCUCAACCACCACCUUCUAUAGUGCAUGUUUGGAUUUGGUAUCUCGUUUGUGUUUGUCUUUGUCACAUAUGAACCACUGGGUAGGUUUGGGAGAAUAAAUAUGGCUCAAUGUGAUUAUGACAAAUCCGAUUUGAUACCAAACAUGCUCUAUCACCAUCUAUUUUAUUGAAAUUAAAAGGAACCGGUUAACUAUUUUCCAUAACUUGAGCAGGUUCUCUGGCGACCAAGGUGCAGAAAAAUCAUCUCAUUCGUGGUAAGAAAUUAUAGAACCAAUAAAUUUGUUUUAUGUCAUAAGUACUUUCGUCGGCGACCAUCACACGAUACCGCCACCAUGUCAAAAACUAUGUCAAUCAUAGUAAGUAAAUUCAACCAAUAUAGUCACACUUUUUUAAUUGUUUACUUCAAACGCAAACCAGAUCAACAAGGUGAUGAAUGAGUUGACUGUAUAGGGUCAUCAAUCUAUUAAAAUUAUGUUUUUAUAAAAUUAACAAAGUAUAUAAUUAAAUGAUCUCGCCACUUAUGUGGACGACAAAGAAUUUUGGUGAGUUGAAUUCGUGAUUAGACUUUUUGUUUAUAUGAAAGUUUAUACUAACAUUUGUGAUUGAAUGAUUUGAAACAAUCAACUCGUCAAUUGUAGAGGCGUGAUCCGAAACUUGCGACCAAUUGAAGAUUAUGAUUAAACUUGAUAGUUGAUAUAAGAAACUUGAAUGAAUUAGAAGAAAGUGAAGAGAUUCCCAGGAACUUAUAGAAGGGCUUUGUGCAACAAGACAUUAUUUGUUUUCUAGACUAGAGUUCACCUAUUUUGUCUUCACCUUCCUCCAAUUCUUAAAAGUUCCCAAUGAAAACUACUGGAUGUGAUUCUUGGGUUUCAGGAUUCCUCUUUGGUCAUUGAAGUCAUUUGUUUCAAAUAACUCAAUCGUUACGGUAAACCUUCUUAUUUGCUUAGGGUCCAAUCACAAAUUGAACUCGUGAAAAUUGUCACCGCUCAACAUAAGCCACAGAAUAAAUUUAAACGCCUCGUCGCUAGUUUAUUAUAGAAAUAUAGCUUGGAAAUUUAGACAAUUUAAUAUCUAAGAGUUUUUUUAAAGGAAAUACUUAAGAGUUUUUUGUGCGUAGAGUAGAAAAACA